rnacentral:lncRNA from 1 species
AUGAAGGAAGGCCAGAAGAACUACAGAACCACGCCCACCAGAGCUAAAGGAGACCGAAGGGACUUGCGGGAGGUGAAGUCUGUUCCACAUAGUGCAAGGAAGCUCAGUGGGGUUUCAUACGAGGGUCCUGCGUACUGUGCCAUCGUCCAACCAGUACAGUACGGCCAUUUCAAAUCGCCCCGCGAAGCUUUCGGGAAGAGGGGUAGUCUUGCGUUCAGAAAGAAAGCCCAUACUUCUGCUUUUCCUGAUCCUUUUAGUGCUAGAACUAGGAACCUGGUUGUAAAGCUCAUUCCCGGUCUUGCAACUUGGUCAUUUGAUCGAUUUCCUUGUAAAUUCCUAAGCAUGAGAGGAAGGAACCGCUUCUCUGAGCCCCCGCUUUUGGGGGGCGGGAGACGCUAUGCCAGAUAG